UUAUGUUAUAAAGAAAGCGGAGAAGAAAUGGUGGGACAGGUUGAUCAAGCCGGAAGGAAAGCCUCCUGUGUUUGUCAAAGUUGAUUGGGAUAAAUGGGUUGACGAAGAAGAAGAGAACGAGAGAGCAGGAAUGGACUUCGAUGACAUGGAUUUCUCGAACUUAGACAUGGGUGGGGAUGAUGAUCUUGAUUUGGAUGAUUUGAAGGAACAGGAAGAUGAAGUCGAAACGAAAGAAGAGGAUGGGCAGAAAGAGAUGGAGGUGGGAGAACCGCCUGCACCGGUGGCUGAGGAAGCUAAGUCUUGAUUGCUUUGGAAAGACAGAAAACGGAGACCCCUAUCCUUGACACGAGCUGUGUGAAAGCAUUCUCACAUUAGCAUGUAUGCCAUACUCUCUCUAUGUUGUCAUGGCAGUAAGGAUCAGUUCUGGUAAAAGGACAUUUCUGGAGUCAAAAUAUCAUGAUACAUCUUGUUUAUGGCUAUAAACGUUUUAUUUCUUUUUUUAUGGGUGUAAAGGUGUCUGUCACGCCAAGGCGAUAGCAUUGAGAACGAGGAAUCCCCAUCUGUGAAAGAUUGGGGGAAAAAUUGCUUGAAACUAGAGUGAAGAUG